AAAAGGGGAAAAUCCCGUGAUGUGAUCUGCGGUUUUGGUGUCCACAUCAUGGUAUUAAAGUGAGUCAAAAGUGCUACUAGGAAAAGACAAAGCUACUACUACUACUUUGCUUGAGCCUGGGAAGUACCUCCCUCAUGUAGAGAUAGAUGGAUUCCAGCGAGAUCCUAGUACCAGUACUAUGGUCCUCAAGGGAAAUUACUAUUAAAAAAGAGGUGGAAGAAGGAAAGAAGACCACGACAAGAUGGAAGUUGCAGAUACGGACUCGCAAGACCACCCACGACCGGAAGCAUGGAGGGUCUCUGCCGCCGCAGCUAGCCCUCACCUUGUCGGCUCACCUCCACGGCCAUGGGCUCGGCCUCGCGGUCUCCAUAGCCAUCUCUCCGCCUCUGAGCACCUACAAACCAGCUUUCCUCCUGCAGUUGAGCCGCCCCCGCUACUCGUCAGCAACGCACGGCCCGCCCACACCUGCGCCUGCUCCGACCAGCCAUCUCCGCGCAUCAAGCCGGCUGCGCCGGGCCACCAGCCCCUGCCGCUGCGGGCCUGAGUCGUCGGCCGCCUUCGCUGUCGAGUCGACUGCACGCCUCUGCCCCUAUUACAAAUUCUUCAAUGUGUACAUAUGUAAAGAUAGGUUGAGCAAAGAAAUUUUGGAGUUAGCGUCUCCUACAUCGACUGUUUUCGCCACCC
rnacentral:lncRNA from 1 species